GGGGUUGUGGCUCAGUGGUGGAGCGCUUGCCUAGUAUGUAAGAGGCCUUGGGUUCUAUUCUCAGCACCACA
rnacentral:tRNA from 1 species